rnacentral:rRNA from 1 species
AUGAACGCUGGCGGCGUGCUUAACACAUGCAAGUCGAACGAUUAAAGCUCACUUCGGUGAGUGUAUAGAGUGGCGAACGGGUGAGUAACACGUGGGAAACCUGCCCCUUUCUUCGGGAUAACUUCGGGAAGCCGUUGCUAAUACCGGAUACUCCGGGAUGGUCGCAUGGCCGACCCGGGAAAGCUUUAUGUGGAAAGGGAUGGUCCCGCGGCCCAUUAGCUUGUUGGUGGGGUAAUGGCCUACCAAGGCGAUGAUGGGUAGCCG